AGCUUUGCACAGUGGCAGUAUCGUAGCCAAUGAGAUUAAUCCGAGGCGCAAUUAUUGCUAAUUGAAACUAUCGUUUUUCAAUUUAAUCUAUAUAUAUAAAAGGAUAAAGUUGUGGGCGCAGUGACUA
ensembl:snRNA U4 U4 spliceosomal RNA